ACAUAAGGUGGAGGAGGUGAUGGGGAAGGGGGAGGUGGUGACUUGUAAACGUAGGGUGGGGGAGGUGAUGGGGAUGGAGGAGGUGGUGACUUGUAAAUGUAGGGUGGUGGUGGAGAUGGUGAUGGUGGGGGUGGUGACUUAUAGACAUAAGGAGGAGGAGGUGAUGGGGAUGGAGGAGGUGGUGACUUGUAAAUGUAUGGUGGUGGUGGUGACUUGUAAAUGUAGGGCGGUGGUGGAGAUGGUGAUGGUGGGGUGGUGGACUUAUAAAUGUAGGGUGGGGGAGGUGAUGGGGAUGGAGGUGGUGGUGACUUGUAAACAUAAGGAGGAGGAGGAGGUAGGUGAAGGAGAUGGNNNNNNNNNNNNNNNNNNNNGGUGGUGGACGUUGUAAUGUAUGGUGGUGGAGGUGAUGGUGAUGGUGGUGGUGGUGACUUGUAAAUGUAGGGUGGUGGUGGAGAUGGUGAUGGUGGGGGUGUUGACUUAUAGACAUAAGGAGGAGGAGGUGAUGGGGAUGGUGGAGGUGGAGACUUGUAAACAUAAGGAGGAGGAGGUGAAGGAGAUGGUGGUGGUGGUGACUUGUAAAUAUAUGGUGGUGGUGGUGACUUAUAGAUGUAUGGUGGAGGUGGGGAUGGAGAAGGUGGUGGUGGUGACUUAUAUACAUAAGGAGGGGGAGGUGAUGGAGAUGGUGGCGGCG
rnacentral:lncRNA from 1 species